rnacentral:rRNA from 1 species
AUUGAACGCUGGCGGCAUGCUUUACACAUGCAAGUCGAACGGCAGCGCGGGCUUCGGCCUGGCGGCGAGUGGCGAACGGGUGAGUAAUGCAUCGGAACGUGCCCAGUAGUGGGGGAUAGCCCGGCGAAAGACGGGUUAAUACCGCAUACGACCUGAGGGUGAAAGCGGGGAACCGACAGGCCUCGCGCUAGUGGAGCGGCCGAUGUCGGAUUAGCGAGUUGGUGGGGUAAAGGCUUACCAAGGCGACGAUCCGUAGCUGGUCUGAGAGGACGACCAGCCACACUGGCACUGAGACACGGCCCAGACUCCUACGGGAGGCAGCAGUGGGGAAUUUUGGACAAUGGGGGCAACCCUGAUCCAGCCAUGCCGCGUGCGGGAAGAAGGCCUUCGGGUUGUAAACCGCUUUUGUUCGGGAAGAAAUCCUCUGGGCUAAUACCCCGGGGGGAUGACGGUACCGGAAGAAUAAGCACCGGCUAACUACGUG